rnacentral:tRNA from 1 species
GUGGGUAUAGCUUGGGGUAGAGUGCACACCUAGCACACACAAGGUCCUGGGUUCAAUCCCCAGUACCUGCA